rfam:Triticum aestivum genome assembly, contig: Triticum_aestivum_CS42_TGACv1_scaffold_641085_T_2BS-0.133919_7BS-0.095451
UACAUACUCCCUCCGUCCGAAAAUACUUGUCAUCAAAAUGGAUAAAAAGGGAUGUAUGCAGAACUAAUAUACAUCUAGAUACAUCCCCUUUUAUUUAUUUUGAUGACAAGUAUUUCCAGACGAAGGGAGUAACUU